rnacentral:rRNA from 1 species
CCUACGGGUGGCAGCAGUCGAGAAUCAUUCACAAUGGGGGAAACCCUGAUGGUGCGACGCCGCGUGGGGGCAUGAAGGUCUUCGGAUUGUAAACCCCUGUCAUGUGGGAGCAAAUUAAAAAGAUAGUACCACAAGAGGAAGAGACGGCUAACUCUGUGCCAGCAGCCGCGGUAAUACAGAGGUCUCAAGCGUUGUUCGGAAUCACUGGGCGGAAAGCGUGCGUAGGCUGUUUCGUAAGUCGUGUGUGAAAGGCGCGGGCUCAACCCGCGGACGGCACAUGAUACUGCGAGACUAGAGUAAUGGAGGGGGAACCGGAAUUCUCGGUGUAGCAGUGAAAUGCGUAGAUAUCGAGAGGAACACUCGUGGCGAAGGCGGGUUCCUGGACAUUAACUGACGCUGAGGCACGAAGGCCAGGGGAGCGAAAGGGAUUAGAUACCCCGGUAGUC